AUUAGCUGAACCACAUGGCUAUUUAAAAUGCCAGUAUUUUUCUGUGUUUAGUUACAUAAAACUCUUUGACGAUAAUAUUUAAUGUACAGUAAGUACCCACAUCAUUCCUUAUUAAAACAUAAUUCAAGACCAACCAUUUGCACAGAUAUACCACAACAUUCGUUGGGCCAGAUGUUUGAUCUAAUUUUAAAACAAACCAUUAAAAACCUCUCCUUUCAUUUCCUCUUUUUCUGCAUUACAAGAUUGAUACUUCUUCGGCCUCUCUGAAAUAAGACGGAACACAACACCAUGCAUAUCAUCUCAUUUUUUGUAUUGAUGUUAAAAAUUGUGCUUUGUUACAGAUCUCAAGAAGUUCAGCGUGGAUCUGACGUGUCUUUGCGAUGUGACGUUCCUCUCCGGUCUAAUUCCUCCACUUUGCAUUGGGAGAAAGAUGGAGAACAAACACCCAACAGCACUCUGAUGUACAACACCUCUGCCUACAUCAUCUUACACACUGUUGAUGAACGCAGUGAAGGGAAAUAUUACUGUAGAUUGAUGCAAGAUGGAAUCGUACAAACUGUUAAGAAUCACACACUUAAUGUCACUUCAUAUUCACAGAAUAAAAAGCAUACAAUUUACAGACAAAGUGCCCAUAAUAGUGAUGUAUCACUGAUCUUCAAGUCUAAAAAGAACUACCACGGGUUAAGGUGGACAUGGGAACAGAGACCUAAAUCACAGAUUGAUCUGAUAGCUGUAGAAAAAGGAAGAGAAGUUCAAAUAAAAGGACCAAUUAAACCAGGAAGAAAUUCUUUUACUACAUACACUGGUCAAUGUUUCAUAUUUCACAUCUCACCUGUGAACUUCAAUUAUAGUGGAACAUACAGGUGUAUUACUGAAACAACAGUCUACACAACCACAAUACUACGCACAAUCAGAGAGAGAUGGUUUGGUCAAAUUCAGUGAGUGAGAACUAGUUAAACAGCUAGCAUUGCUAGUAGUGCAUUUGAGUCUCAGUGGAGUCCCCUAAUGGUGUGUUGAGGAUUCAGUCAGUGGAUCUUACCUGUGAAGUUUCUGAAGUAAAUGAUUCAGUGACGCUGGUCUGGCUCAGGAUGGAGGGGAACAGAGGAGUGCUGGUCAAACAGCAAAAUAUGACUAAGAAAAACACCAUGUUACGUCUCACAGUGAAUCUAUCCAACUAUAAAACAGACCCGCUGCACUGGCAGUGUGCAGUUUUUACUGAGAAUACACUCAGAGCUCUGGCCCCUAUAACAAUCAGUCGUACCUCAUCAAAUAUAACUGCUCCAACAGAAAGCUCAACUGUAACAAACAAAGAAGACACCAUGACAGAGGACAAUCAUCUACAGACAGAGACCAUUGUGGGUUGUGUUGUUACUGUCAGUGUGCUGAUUCUGCUGGGAUUUCUAGUUUUUAAAUGUCAGCGAAAAACAGGUGAACUCAUCUCAGAGACAAUAUAGGAAGGAGAACACUGUCCAAAUGAAUGGGUCAGAUUGUGACAUUGUCUAUGGGAAGUGAAUUAAAGUCCUGUCUUUCAUUUUAAAUGGCUAACUGCAUUUUUUCAGAGACACUGCUUGUUUUUAUAGCUUGUUAGUACACACAUGCUUAUUAGCUGGAUCAAGCUAUUUGAUGCAGCUUGACCUUGAUUUAUAUUUUAUAUAAAAAUGUUUUACUUGUUUAAGUGUACAUUUUGUCCAUUGCAUGUUUUCCUAAUUGCAGUGAGAUUUGAAAUACGAGAUGUUGUCGUAUUGUUUCACUAGAUGAAGGUCACGUCACUGGAUUAAAAUCACAAGAUGAAGAAGACAUCCAUUAUGCUUCAGUGACAGUAGCAGGAUUAAGUCAUGGAGCUGACAAGUGUUUUAUAGGAAAUCAUCCAAAUUCAGAGGACGGAAAUUCGGCAGUCAUCUACUCAGCCAUUAAAGCACAGUGAGCCUUGUCACAUGGGAGCUUUGUAUUUUAUUUAUUUCAUUUAUUUAAAAUAAAUGGAAUUGCUAAAACACAGAAUGAAUCUUGUAUUAAUGAUAGCAUGCUACUCAUCCAUUAUUUUGGUACUAAAUGUUAAAACAUAAGACUAAUGAACCAUGCAUGCUCAAGUGCAUUAUGGGUGUGUAAGCAUAAGGUCUUUGGGUUUCACUUGAAUUGGAAACAUAAAUGCAUCAACACGAUCUCUGAGUAUAAUCAGAUCUAUAUGCUGACAUGCCAGAAAUAACCCCAAUGUGGUUUCAUGACACACAACUGUGUUAAUUUUAGCACAGUAUUUCCUGUUAUGGAAAAACAAAACAAAAAACAAGAUGAUUUAGCUUUGCAGCAAAUGUUUAAACUAACUAAAAGUAAAAGAAAAUUCAAAAAAUAAAAAUAAAUAAAUGAAAAUGAAUUGCAAUAAUUUUAAACAGUGAAACAUGUGAACUGAAGCCUAUAACAAUUUUUUUUUAAUUGAAUGUUGUCAUGCACAACAGCAUGGAUUAAUUAAAUUAGAAGAAGGAAGAGGAGAAGAAGAAUGUUUCUUAAACCUCUUGUCUAACUAUAAUCACAUCAGUCCAUCACUAAGAACACAUUACUGUGUGUAACAUGAAAAUGAGUUUCAAACACCUACUUCAAAAUUUUACAGUAGUGUUACAUUUCUUAUUGAGUUGUAUUUUUAAAUAUUUAUUUGUAAUAAUAAAUAAA